GUUGAUAAGGUUAAGUGAAUAAGGGCGCACGGUGGAUGCCUUGGCACUAGGAGCCGAUGAAGGACGGGACUAACACCGAUAUGCUUUGGGGAGCUGUACGUAAGCUAUGAUCCAGAGAUUUCCGAAUGGGGGAACCCAGCAUCUUUUAUAGGAUGUUACGUUUGCGUGAAUACAUAGCGCAUUCGAGGUAGACGCAGAGAACUGAAACAUCUAAGUACCUGCAGGAAGAGAAAGAAAAUUCGAUUCCCUGAGUAGCGGCGAGCGAAACGGGAAAAGCCCAAACCAAUGAGCUUGCUCAUUGGGGUUGUAGGACUCC
rnacentral:rRNA from 1 species